GCGUCACAAAGCUUGACAGCGUCACUUUCCGAUGUCUAUACCUUGUUGGACACACGCAACGUCGCGAAGAAGCUCGAACAAGAAAAAGUGUCAACUUUUGCAAAUUUCGAAGCGUUGGUUUUGUGCGUGAUGCGUCGUGCUGUUCGUUUUGCCUGUACGCUGGUGGGUGAAAAAUAGUUGCCGGAAAAAAAGCGUGACCUCAGUAGCGGUACACACACAGCACAACAAAGAGUGUGGCGGGUGGCAUCGGCAAAGGGCACAUCGGACACACACAGCGCUUGAUUUCGUCCCAAUUUGGCCCUGGCGAUAUGGGUCGACGGUGAAAAACGAUUAAAUUUUGCUUCCUUCACUUUGCUGCUGACUGUUUGGCGACGGUCCCGGUAGCAUUUGCCCUUUUCGUGCCGGGUGUAGGGAGGGGUUUGGUCGGCGUAGCUGCAAACGUAACAAGGGGCGCCCAUUCGCGCGGGAACCCAGCUUGAUUGAUAAUAUUUCGGAACAGGGUGAGAAUAUCAUUUUCACAAUACCGCCGUCAGCGACCUCUAGCGGCGUCAAAACGGGCUCGCAGUACGCCGUCACCCGUAGACGGUCCGCUACUGCUGAGAAGAAGAUAAACAAAACAAUUCCCCCUCGCCAGAAAGCCCAACCUCGACGAAGGGGUGGCGUGCCGAGCCAGCGGCCAGGGGCGUUACUGACUAGGAAGGAAAUUUUAACCAACAAAAAGUACCAGCCAGUGGUCGUGCUCGUCGAUUGUUUGGCAGGCAAGGCAGGCAGGCAACGCGUCACGAAAAUGCCGAGAAUCAAAAAGAGGCACGAUGAGGAGCCGGUGAUGAGGAUGAGAGAGCUGCCCGAGACGCUAACCGCGGGCAGAUCGCGCCGCACGAUAAAGCCCAAUCCAAAGUACAUGAACGACGAAAUGCUCGUUCCGACAGGCAGGAACACCGUGGACGAGAACGAGAUGAGCGCCGAGGAGGAGUACAUUGUCGAUUACGAGGAGAACGAUGAUCCGGAAGAUUCGGGACUUGUUGUGCGGCGCUCGGUCGUAAGUUCCACUCCGCAGACGGACGGGCAACCGAGGCGCAGGGGCCGUCCGCCGAAGCAAAAGAAUGUGGAGGCGCCGCGCACCGAACCGGUGAAAAACCUUCGCAAGGAGGUGCUGAAAAAGCUGGACUACAGGACAAUUAGCAUUAGCAAAUCCCGCCACAUGGGCUCGCAGCAGCUGGAUGGAAGGCGCAAGCUGAACCUGACCAUAGACUCGGUGGACACAGAUUCCGCCGAUCAGGACGAAAUGGACGACAUGGAUGUGGAUCGACACUCGCUGCGGUCACGCGGCAACAGCGGGGAGCUCGUGAAUCGCACGCAGAAGGUGCUGAAUUCGGCUGCACCGAAGAAGCAGCUGCCCGUGAGGAUGAUGGAUCGUAGAGGCAGUGCCAUUGCCAAGGGUGGUUCGAUGGAUAGCAAAAUAGAUGCCACGACUGAGGAGGACGAGUACGACGAUGAGGAGGAAGAUUACAUGAACGACUCCGACGCGAAGAUGAGCGAGGAAGCGCCGGCCAAGCGUUCGGUGGGGCGUCCCCGCAAGCACCCCGUCAAACAGGUUUCGCCCUUUGGCGGCAAGGUGCUGCUGCCGGGCAUGAAAACCUCCCCGACCGCCGCCACCCCGGUUCUGAAGCGCAAGGCGGCGGAGUUGGACGAAGAGCCGAAGCCGCAGGAAUCGCAGCAAUCGAAAAUGUUGCGCCGCUCGUACGGGCUGAAGAGUGUGCACGGGUCAAACCAAUCGUCGCAGGAGGGCGAAUCGGAAGAUAACUACGAGCUGGAAGAUAAGAAGCCCAACCGAUCGUCCACCUCAUUCCAAACCCUGGCCCGGGAACGGGGCCGUCCGCCGAAGGGUACCUUCACGCCGGGCCAGUUGGUAAAGACGGAGAAAACUGGCACCGGUGAUGGUGGUGGUGGUGGUGCCCCUCCGAUGGCCAAUCGAUCAUUGCCCGAAACGAAACUAACAAAACCAUCGCCGACGAUAACGAUCGUGAACGUGAGCGAUAUUAUAAAGAUGCGCUCGAAAAGCUCCGGCGACCUGCGGCGAAGGUUGGACGAGGAGGCAGCAUUCGAUUCGGAGGACAUGUCCGAGCAGGAAGAGGCGCAGGCGGACCGCAAGCAGGAGGACGGCAAGACGAACAACCAGCUGGUGGCGUCCAUCCUCGAGCGCAAGCGGCCAAUCUCGCUCGAGCACCUGCAGAAAGUGCGCCGGCACAUCCGCGACAUGCCGGCCAAGGGCGAGCUGAAGGGAGGAAAGCAGCGGGCCCGCCCGGCGACGAAUGAGCUCAGCGAGAACGAUGUCGUUGACUUCGAGGACGUGCUGCAGAAGAACAUCGUGAGCGCCGACAAGGACACCCGGCUGGUUACGGUCGGUGCGGUGCGAGGCCGUUCCCGGCCAGCGGGCAAUGCGAAGCAGGACGAAAACUACGGCUACGCCACAAAGCGCAUCACGCCGGGCAGUGCGGGAGGCAAGGCGGCGGGCGGUGGCGCUGCUGCCACGACGAGACGGUCGCUGCAGCCGCCCCGAAUACUGAACGCGACCAUGAAGCUGGGCGACAAUCGUCCCCGGUCGAAGCAGGCGGGCGGUUCGGGCGACAAUCACUACUCGAUCGAUCUCACCGAUCCGGACAACAACGUGAAGCUGGUGUCCUCUUCGAACGAAAACUCUCCCUCGAAGCGGUCGCCGGCGGCACCGUUCGGGCAGAAAACGCCGGCGAAUGUGGCCCGCUCCGCCACCGGCGUCGUGCGGGACAUUAGUAAUAGUGGCAGUGGUAGCGUGCGUUCUUCGCCGCAGGAGGUGAAGAAGAAGCGCGUCACGCUGUACGAAACGUGGAACGUGCUGCACAUUCGUUCGUUCGACUCGACGAUGAAACCGCCCCAGAUGGCAAUGAACAUGAUUAGCCUCGGCAAUUCGGCGGCCGAUAUCGUGAUGCCAUCGAGCGCCUGGUCGUUCCGCACGCUGCUGGAAAAGCGCAAAGUGCCUGCGGGCGAGGGCGAUCUCCUCUUCGCUGGCAAGAUACAGGACGUGACGAUCAGCGAGGAGGACAAGGCGAACUACGAGCCGAGCAAGAUCAUGUUCCGCCGGAAGGCGGCCUCGCCCGGCAAGUUUAACGUGCAGUUCGACCGGACGGUCACCUUCCGCGGCGACACGUACUCGCUGAACGUGAACGGGCAGAGCUGCAAGCUGAUGGCGGCCCCGAGCCGGAUAGACACGAUCGAGGAUAUCGAAACGCUGCUGCAGAUCGUGGACCAUGUCGAUCUGAAGCACAGCUGCAUCCAGCUGCAGCCGCCCUCGCGUCUACAGAUGCGGGAUGCUUCCGGCGGUACCAGGCGCGUCGCCGUUAGCAAAGAUCCCGUAAUAAUGUAAAUAAGGGCCGCGGGAUCACUCGGCGGGAAUGGCACGGGCGACAUUCUCUCUCUCUCGCUCGUUCGGGCUUUUCCUGCGCAAAUGCACUACCCGCAACGUCGCGCUUGGAUCUAGAAGAAGAACAACGAACUGUUGUUUCAUUUGUUAUGCUUUGUACAAAUGUUCAAGAUCGCUUUGCACACCUGCGGACCAACAGAAAUUCAAACUGUUUGCGCCCCAUUUUCGUGUUCGAUCCGUGCGCUAGCGAGAAAUGUGUUACAAGCUGUGCCUGUUUUCAACUCAACAUUAACAAACAAAACCCGUAAAAAACACUGUGCGAAGAAAUCGUUCGUACAUGGUCGAACUUGUGGCCCGUAUCGGUUAAGGUAGAGAGUGCGGUACUAUAGUUGGUAUAUAUUACGGGGAGGGGAUGAUACACGCAUGCAAUAUCGCUCGAUAAGUAUAAUAAGCCCCUCUUCUGGUGCGACGUGUAAAGGAACGACAGCAAGAUUCUGCGUUUGAAUGGAAAGUUUAGUUUCUUAUUUUUUUUUUAGCUACAAAACUACACAUACACAAACAGUGAACUAACACGCACGAGGCGCGCACGUGCCCUUUGCGUAUAGAUGUAAUUGGAAGGAAAAGGAUUCGUGGCUGUACGGACUAAUUUUAAACAAAACUUUAUUUCAACUCUUGUUAGCUGACAAAAAUCGAUCCCAAAUAAAGAGACACAAAAAGUAAUGAAAACCA